UCUACAUUUCAUUUCAAAAGUUUGGAAAGCUCUUUAAUUUGUCCUUUAUCUCAGUGCAUGCGCAUAAAGCUUGCAGGACGAGUACUUCUAGCUAGCUCGUUCUUUUAUUCUCAGGAAGUUUCAGAAUAGCAACUUGAUAUAUAGAUGGCAGGACAAUCAGCAAGUUUUG